rnacentral:rRNA from 1 species
CGGCAACAGCUCAAAUUUGAAAUCUGGCCUCUGCGGGGUCCGAGUUGUAAUUUGGAGAGGAUGUUUCGGGCACGGUCCGGGCUUAAAUUUCUUGGAACAGAAUGUCACAGAGGGUGAGAAUCCCGUCUGGAGUCCGGACACGGCCCAUGUGAAACUCCUUCGACGAGUCGAGUUGUUUGGGAAUGCAGCUCUAAAUGGGUGGUAAAUUUCAUCUAAAGCUAAAUAUUGGCCAGAGACCGAUAGCGCACAAGUAGAGUGAUCGAAAGAUGAAAAGCACUUUGAAAAGAGAGUUAAACAGUACGUGAAAUUGUUGAAAGGGAAGCGCUGUCAACCAGACUUGCGCGUCGGGGUUCCCCCUUGCUUCUGCCUGGGUUACUCCCCGGCGUUCAGGCCAACAUCGGUUUCGGGGGUUGGUUAAAGGCCCUGGGAAUGUAUCUACCCUCCGGGGUAGACUUAUAGCCCAGGGUGUCAUGCGACCUCCCGGGACCGAGGAACGCGCUUCGGCUCGGAUGUUGGCGUAAUGGUUGUCAGCGACCCGUCUUGAAACACGGACCAAGGAGUCUAACAUCUAUGCGAGUGUUAGGGUGUCAAACCCUUACGCGGAAUGAAAGUGAACGGAGGUAGGAAGCCUUAAGGCUGCACUAUCGACCGAUCCUGAUGUCUUCGGAUGGAUUUGAGUAAGAGCAUAGCUGUUGGGACCCGAAAGAUGGUGAACUAUGCCUGAAUAGGGUGAAGCCAGAGGAAACUCUGGUGGAGGCUCGCA